UAUCUGUCCCUCUUCCUCUUCCUUUUCCUCACAACAAUUGAAAAGUUACGGUGUAUUUUCAUUUCAUUUUCUCUGCCGUCUUCUCCUUUUCUAUUCGCACGAAGAAGAAUCUGUUGCAAGUUACUCACUUUUCUCGCACCACGAAGAUUUAUUCUUCUUUUGCAAAAUGACGAGAUGUUCCAAAUUGAGUUGCUUUAUGAAGUUGUGAAUUUGAAGGAAGAACAAAGGUGACUAAUUUUUAACUUAUGAAGCUUGCUUGUACUGUUACUUUAUUGAAAGUUAGGGAGGGUUGUAAUAAUGGAAGAAGGGUUAUGUCAAAACUCAUCAGAUUCUGUUUAUAAGUUAGGGAUUGUAGAUGUUAAACCCUUGCGUAGUUUGGCACCAGUGUUCCCGGAAUCUACGCUAGGUUCUACAUCUGCCCAGCCCCCAUAUGGAUUUUCUCCAUUUUUGCCCGUGGGUGUAAAUCAAGAAUUUCGAGCACCCCCUGCUCCCGCGCCAGCUCCGGUUCCGGCUCCAGCUCCGGUUCCAGCUCCUGCGCCAGUAAGGUCAUUUAGGAGUUCAGUAGUUGAAGAAGAAGCCCCACGUGGAGCUGAUGGUGAUGGUUCUUCAUCAAUGGAGGGGCUUAGUGGUGCUGCUAAUGACCGAAACCAUGCAGCACCAGAUAUGUGUGGAAGCAAACCACCUCCUGGUUCUAUUCCAGCUCCGGUUCCAUUAAGGUCCUUUAGGAGCCCUCUGGUUGAAGAAGAAACCCUGCACGGAGGAAAUGGUGAUGGUUCUUCGUCCGUGGAUGGGCUCAAUGGUGUUGUUAAUGACCAAAAUUGUACGGCACCACAUAUGCGUGGUUGCAAGUCAUCUAACACAUCCAUACCGGCUCCAACUCCAUUACGGGUCUAUAGGAGCCCCCUAGUUGAAGAAGUAAACCUACGUGGACCUAAUGUGGAUGCUGGUUCAUCAUUUGAAGGGUUCAAUGGUGUUGCUAAUGCCCAAAAGCGUUCAGAACCAAAUUCACAAGGCAACAAAUCAUCCCAAAAGAGGAGCAGGGUAAAUCAAGAUUCAGAUUUUGUAUUGUCUUCGUCGAUCAGUCUUAGUCUAGAAAAAAGGAGUGACGCUGACCGUGAGACAGUUAAUUUUGUACUCACGACAUUUGAUGCUCUUCGAAGAAGGCUAUUGCAACUUGAAGAAGCCAAGGAAUUGAACACGACUGGUGUUAUCAAGCGUGCAGAUUUAAGAGCUAGCAAUACUAUGACACUCAGAGGGGUUCGAACGAACCUGAGAAGGAGAAUAGGAGUAGUGCCUGGGAUUGAGAUUGGUGACAUUUUCUACCUACGAAUGGAGUUAUGUCUCGUGGGCUUACAUGGACAGACAAUGAGCGGAAUUGACUAUGCGACUAUGAAAUGUGAAUCUCAGGAGGAACCUUUGGCUCUAAGCAUUGUUUCGUCUGGAGAAUAUGAUGAUGAUACAGAUGAUAAUGAUAUUUUGGUAUAUAGUGGUCAGGGUGACUUCCACAAGAAAGAUAAGAAUGCGACUGAUCAGAAGCUUCAAAGGGGUAAUCUUGCUUUGGAUAAAAGUUCACAACGGCAUAAUGAAGUAAGAGUCAUCCGUGGACUGAAAGAUGCUACUAACAAAAGCACAAAAAUAUAUGUUUAUGAUGGUUUGUAUAAAAUCCAAGAUUCUUGGAUAGAAAGGGGGAAAUCUGGUGGUGGCAUUUUUAAGUAUAAGUUUGUAAGAUUGCCUGAACAGCCCAGUGCUUUUGCUGUUUGGAAAUCAGUUCAGAAAUGGAAAGAAGGCACCCUUUCAAGGAGUGGUCUUAUUAUUAAAGAUCUCUCUUCAGGAAUCGAGAGUAUUCCUGUAUCACUUGUCAAUGAGGUUGAUAAUGCAAAGGGUCCUGGUUUCUUCACUUACGUUCAUUCUCUCAAAAACCCAAAACCAUUUGGUUCAAUUAUGUCUUCUCAUGGAUGCAAUUGUAACAAAGCAUGUGUCCCGGGAGAUUUGAGUUGCUCUUGCAUUCAAAGAAAUGUUGGUGAUUUUCCAUAUAUUGCAAAUGGUUUUCUAGUAAGUCGGAAGCCAUUAGUUCAUGAAUGUGGCUCUAUGUGUCGUUGUCUUCCGAAUUGCAAAAAUCGAGUGUCCCAGUCUGGUUUAAAGCAUUACAUGGAAGUGUUCAAAACGAUGGAUCGAGGGUGGGGUCUUCGAUCAUUGGAUCCUAUUCGUGCUGGUACUUUUAUUUGUGAGUAUGCAGGAGAAGUUGUUGACAGAGCCAAGUUAAGUGUGGAAGGAGAUAAUGAGUACAUUUUUGAUACAAGCCGUAUUUUUAAACCUUUCAAGUGGAACUAUGAACCUAGCUUACUGGAAGACGGGGCUUCAAGUGAUGGCAAUGAAGAUUAUGAUAUACAAUCCCAUCUAAUUAUAAGCGCCAAAGAUGUUGGGAACGUGGCUAGAUUCAUGAAUCAUAGUUGCUCCCCAAAUGUUUUCUGGCAGCCAGUUGUAUAUCAUGAAAACAAUCAAUCCUUCCUUCACAUUGCAUUUUUUGCCCUAAGACACAUUCCUCCGAUGACAGAGUUAACAUAUGAUUAUGGAGUUACCCGCUCUGGUCAUGCUGAGGGUAGCAGUUCAUCCAAGGGAAGGAAGAAAUGCUUUUGUGGAUCCCCAAAAUGCUAUGGUUCUUUUGGUUGACAUUUUUGCUGCUGUUUCUUAUAGACCUGCGUGUUGCUAGCAAUUGUAUCCAAGGAAGAAGAGUUUUGCAUAGGAAAGGCUUGCAACAAUCUUGGUCAGACCAGUUUAAGUGUUUAUGCUAGUUAUUCAGGAAGCAACUGUUUUGGAGUGGUCAUUCAUAUAUACACAUUUUUUUCUAUUUGAAAGGCGAAGGCGGCAUGUGAUAUCGUCAAUGGCAGAAUCCACUUUUGUUGUUCCAACUUAGUUGACACAUGCUUGCUUUGAUUAUUCAAAUUGAUCCAUCCAGAUUUUGAAAAGGAAAAGUAAACUAGUUGGUUUAGAUUGUUAGAAAAUUCUUGCCCAGUCUAAGUUUAUAGGGUGGAAACUUUGAGUGAGGUGUGUAGUUAUGAUUCUUGGGACUAGAAAGUAUCAUCAUAUUUAAUCUUCAGUCCUUGAGUUAUGUAACCAACUAUUGUUAAGAGGAUACUUGUUUUCAUAUUUGGGAUUAAAGAAGCCGAUUUGUGAAACGAUGCUGGUUAUCCAAUCAAAAGCGUUAUUGUCAGCAUUUACUAGACUCUUAUGCUUACUUUUGGGAGAGUUAUGUUAAU